AUGCAAGAGGGAAAAACACAAGACAAAUGCCUACAUUGUCUGCUCAAGGAAGGGACACACAAGCAGACCGUGUCAGAUUAUCACUAGAAACGUGGGAAGACAUAAAAAAGGAUUGACUGCAAGGCAAAAAUUACAGUCAAAAGGAGGAAGGAUGGCAAAUUUGUGAUAGAAAUGGUUGAACUCAAUCACAAUCACAAGAUGCUGGAAAGCCCCGGGAUGCUUUUGCACAUGCGAUCGCACAAAAGAGACGAUCCUUUGAUUGACCAGUUGCUGAAAGACAUGCAGCUGGACAACCACACACACGCUCAGAUGAUGUCAAUGCUAUUGCGUAUGUCCGGUGGUCUGCAGUACAUGGGACAUACUAGCCACGACUGGGUAAACAAGAAACAGAAGUUUGCCAAAGAAGAGUCCCAAGAUGAUGCCAAGAAACUUCAGGAUUUCUUCGAAGAUGCAGAUAACCGUGUAAGAAACAUCUUUUGGGCCAACGCAAGUUGCAAAGGAUCCUAUGAAGAUUUUGGUGACUGCGUUACAUUUGACACGACAUAUAAAACUAACAAAUUCCACAUGCCGCUGGGAGUCUUCGUGGGAAUGAACCAUCAUCUACAUAACACCAUAUUUGUUGUCGCCCUCAUGCAAGAUGAAACAAUACCGUUGUUCGUGUGAGUUUUCAAAACAUUCCUAAGGUGUAUGAACAACAAACCGCCAAUCUGCAUGCUCACAGACCAAUGUUCUUCGAUGAAGGCAACAUUAAAAACUAUCCUCCCGGAUACAUUACAUAAGUUGUGUCGGUGGCAUAUCAUGAAGAAGUACAAAGACCACCUCGCCUUGCUGUAUAAGGCGCACGAGAAACUCAAGGAUGACCUCAAUGCGGUGCUGAACCACCCACUAAUGCCGUUAGAAUUUGAACGAGCAUGGAAGGACCUCAUGCAGAAAUACAACUUGCAAAACAACAAAGUGAUGAAUUCGCUAAGGUAUGACAGACAUGAAUGGAUCUCGGCUUACUACAAGGAAAUUUUCUAUGCUCGGAUGACUUCCGCGCAGAGAAGCGAAAGCAUGAACCGCAUAUUGAAGAAAAACUUCGUCAAAGAGAAGCAUGAUCUCCAUCUGUUUGCUCAGCAGGUGGACAAGUGCAUUUAG
rnacentral:rRNA from 1 species